AAACCAUGAUGAGGACAUUGUGUCUGAUAACCUUGCGCUCCCAUGCUUCACAAAAGGUCUCAUUAUUUGUCUGUGUGAAAACUAAAAUAUCAUUCCUUAGUCU
rnacentral:snoRNA from 1 species